rnacentral:rRNA from 1 species
AUUGAACGCUGGCGGCAGGCCUAACACAUGCAAGUCGAACGAGUGGCGGACGGGUGAGUAAUGUCUGGGAAACUGCUCGAUGGAGGGGGUUAACUUCUGGAAAUGGUAGUUAAUACCGCAUACCAUCGGAUGUGCCCAGCUGGUAUUAGCUUGUAGGUGGGGUAAAGGUUCACCUAGGCGACGAUCUCUAGCUGGUCUGAGAGGAUGAUCGGCCACACUGGGACUUGGACACGGCCCAGAGUCCUACGGGAGGCAGCAGUGGGGAAUAUUGCACAAUGGGCGCGAGCCUGAUGCAACCGUGCCGCGUGUAUGAAGAAGGCCUUAGGUUUGUAAAGUACUUUCAGCGGGGAGGCGUUACCCGCAGAAGAAGCACCGGCUAACUCCGUGCCAGCAGCCGCGGUAAUUC